rnacentral:rRNA from 1 species
UGCCGGUGACGAAACCGGAGGAAGGUGGGGAUGACGUCAAGUCAUCAUGGCCCUUACGGCCUGGGCUACACACGUGCUACAAUGGUCGGUACAAAGGGUUGCCAAGCCGCGAGGUGGAGCUAAUACCCAUAAAACCGAUCGUAGUCCGGAUCGCAGUCUGCAACUCGACUGCGUGAAGUCGGAAUCGCUAGUAAUCGUGAAUCAGAAUGUCCACGGUCGAAUACGUUCCCGGGCCUU